rfam:Gossypium hirsutum cultivar TM-1 chromosome 23, whole genome shotgun sequence
AUUCUGUGAUGAGGGCACUUCCGAAAUAAUUCAUUGCACCUUUCUCAUACCUCAUACAAAGACUCAUCAUCCAUUUGUUGGAAGGCAAUGAUCUCAUUCGUCAACUU